UACGAAGGGGGGCUAGCGUUGCUCGGAAUUACUGGGCGUAAAGCGCACGUAGGCGGCUUUCUAAGUCGGGGGUGAAAUCCUGGAGCUCAACUCCAGAACUGCCUUCGAUACUGGAAAGCUCGAGUCCGGGAGAGGUGAGUGGAACUGCGAGUGUAGAGGUGAAAUUCGUAGAUAUUCGCAAGAACACCAGUGGCGAAGGCGGCUCACUGGCCCGGUACUGACGCUGAGGUGCGAA
rnacentral:rRNA from 1 species